UUAAGUUCAGCGGGUAGUCUCACCCGAUUUGAGGUCAAGGUUUAAAAACUCUGUCUUGAAUGCAAGACGAGACAGUUAGAAGCGGGGUCUAAAGCGACAGUGCAAAACCCAAGACGUAGAAACAUCUUAUCACGUCAAGGAUCGGCAAAGCAGACCACACUAAUCCAUUUAGGAGGAGCUGGCUUCAAAGAGGCCAGCAA
rnacentral:misc_RNA from 1 species